rnacentral:rRNA from 1 species
CCUACGGGUGGCAGCAGUGGGGAAUAUUGCGCAAUGGGCGAAAGCCUGACGCAGCGACGCCGCGUGAGGGAUGAAGGUCUUCGGAUCGUAAACCUCUGUCAGCAGGGAAGAACGGUCACUGUGCUAAUCAGCAUUGAAUUGACGGUACCUGCAAAGGAAGCACCAGCUAACGCCGUGCCAGCAGCCGCGGUAAUACGGAGGGUGCGAGCUUUAAUCGGAAUUAAUGGGCGUAAAGCGCUCGUAGGCGGUAUGUCAAGUCAAGUGUGAAAUCCCCGGGCUCAACGUGGGAACUGCCUGUGAAGCUGGCAAACUGGAGUGUGUUAGAGGAUAGUGGAAUUCCAGGUGUAGGAGUGAAAUCCGUAGAUAUCGGGAGGAACAUCAGUGGCGAAGGCGACUAUCUGGCACAUAACUGACGCUGAGGAGCGAAAGCGUGGGUAGCAAACAGGAUUAGAUACCCCUGUAGUC